UGUAGCUCAGUGGCAGAGCAUGUGCCUGGCAUGUGCAAGGUCUUGGGUCAAUCCCCAACA
rnacentral:tRNA from 1 species